rnacentral:rRNA from 1 species
GACGAACGCUGGCGGCGUGCUUAACACAUGCAAGUCGAACGGAAAGGCCCUGCUUUUGUGGGGUGCUCGAGUGGCGAACGGGUGAGUAACACGUGAGUAACCUGCCCUUGACUUUGGGAUAACUUCAGGAAACUGGGGCUAAUACCGGAUAGGAGCUCCUGCUGCAUGGUGGGGGUUGGAAAGUUUCGGCGGUUGGGGAUGGACUCGCGGCUUAUCAGCUUGUUGGUGGGGUAGUGGCUUACCAAGGCUUUGACGGGUAGCCGGCCUGAGAGGGUGACCGGCCACAUUGGGACAGAGAUACGGCCCAGACUCCUACGGGAGGCAGCAGUGGGGAAUAUUGCACAAUGGGCGGAAGCCUGAUGCAGAAACGCCGCGUGCGGGAUGACGGCCUUCGGGUUGUAAACCGCUUUCGCCUGUGACGAAGCGUGAGUGACGGUAAUGGGUAAAGAAGCACCGGCUAACUACGUG